GUACACGUUUCUAAGAGACGACU
rnacentral:snRNA from 1 species